UACGGAGGGGGGUUAGCGUUGUUCGGAAUUACUGGGGCGUAAAAGCGCGCGUAGGCGGACUAUUAAGUCAGAGGUGAAAUCCCGGGGCUCAACCCCCGGAACUGCCUUUGAUACUGGUAGUCUUGAGUUCGAGAGAGGUAAGUGGAAUUCCGAGUGUAGAGGUGAAAUUCGUAGAUAUUCGGAGGAACACCAGUGGCGAAGGCGGCUUACUGGCUCGAUACUGACGCUGAGGUGCGAAAGUGUGGGGAGCAAACAGGAUUAGAUACCCGCGUAGUCC
rnacentral:rRNA from 1 species